UGCCAGCCGCCGCGGUAAUACGGAGGGGGUUAGCGUUGUUCGGAAUUACUGGGCGUAAAGCGCGCGUAGGCGGAUUGGAAAGUUAGAGGUGAAAUCCCAGGGCUCAACCCUGGAACUGCCUUUAAAACUGCGCUGACUUGAAUCCAGUAGGGGAGUGUGGAAUUUGUUGUGUAGCGGUGAAAUGCGCAGAUAUAACAAGGAACACCUAUGGCGAGGGCAGCACUCUGGGCUGGUAUUGACGCUGAGGAGCGAAAGCAUGGGUAGCAAACAGGAUUAGAUA
rnacentral:rRNA from 1 species